CCAAAAACCUAGCCUUAAUCUCCUCACUACCAACCCACUCGUAAGCUAAAAUAUUUUUCCAUUUAGUAAAGACGAUUAAAAAAUUGAUUAGAGCAAUAAAUCUGUACCGCAAGGGAAAGGUGAAAUAAUAAUGAAAUACUUGUAAGCACAAAACAGUAGAGAUUAAUCCUCGUACCUUUUGCAUCAUGGUUUAACCAGUCUCAUCAAGCAAAAAGAAUUACAGUUUGACCCCCCGAAACUAAGUGAGCUACUUUAAGACAGCUUAAUGAGCAAACCCAUCUCUGUUGCAAAAGAGUGGGAAGAUCUUAAAGUAGGAGCGAUAUACCUAACGAACUUAGCGAUAGCUGGUUAUUCAGGAAACGAAUCUUAGUUCAACCUAAAGUUACCUAAAUUUUUAUAAAUAAAACCUUGACUUUAGAGCUAAUCAAAUAAGUCAGAGCCUAUUUGAAACAGGAUACAGCCUCCCCCAGUGGGUAACAAUUAUACUUAUAAUUAAGUUGGCCUAAAAGCAGCCACCUUUAAAAAAGCGUCAAAGCUUAAUACCCAGACACUUAAUUAAUUUCUUAAUCUCCCCAGAACCCCUCAUUAAUACUGAAUGAUCUUAUACUUUUAUAAGACCCUUUAUGUUAAAACUAGUAACAAGAAGCUAACCAUCUCUUAAUAUGUGAGUUUACAUCAGAACAGACAUUCUACUGACUCAUAACAGCCAUAAACUUCAGUAACACCACCCUAAGAAAACCUUACUCAAACAACUGUUGACCUAACACAAGAACAUAAAAAGAAAGAUUAAAAGAAAAAGAAGGAACUCGGCAAAUUUUGAUUCCGCCUGUUUACCAAAAACAUCGCCUCCUGCUUACACAUAGGAGGUCCAGCCUGCCCAGUGACCUAGUUUAACGGCCGCGGUAUCCUAACCGUGCGAAGGUAGCGUAAUCAUCUGUUUUUUAAUUAAAGACCUGUAUCAAAGGCAUCACGAGAAUCACACUGUCUCCUUUUUCCAAUCAGUGAACCUAAUCUCCUCGUGAAAAAGCGAGAAUAACUAUACAAGACGAGAAGACCCUUUGGAGCUUUAGAUAAAGUAAUAUUUUGCCCUCAUCCCCUUGCAUCUAUACCAAAUGGCAUCUAUUUUACUAAUCUUCGGUUGGGGCAACCGCGGAGUAAAAAACACCCUCCAAGCUGAACGGAACUUUCCUUAACAAAAAGCCACAACUUUAUGUAUCAACAAAUUGACAUCAUGACCCAAUAUUUUGAUUAUCGAACCAAGUUACCCUAGGGAUAACAGCGCAAUCUACUUCAAGAGCCCAUAUCUACAAGUAGGCUUACGACCUCGAUGUUGGAUCAAGGUAUCCCAGUGGUGCAGCCGCUACUAAAGGUUCGUUUGUUCAACGAUUAAAACCUCACGCGAUCUGAGUUCAGACCGGAGUAAUCCAGGUCAGUUUCUAUCUGUAAAGAGCUAUUCCCAGUACGAAAGGACAGAAAUAGCGUGGUCAAUAUAACAUUCAAGCCAUACUUCCAACUUAUGAUGCCCACUCAAUAAGCCUACACCUAAAAAGGGCCCCCAAAAACAGAGAA
rnacentral:rRNA from 1 species